CAACACAAGCUUACCAAGCUGGCAAAAAAACAUUUGACUAGUGUCACAUGAGAAAAAUUCCUUUACUUCUACUGUUCCUGUCUGAGAGAGUGUGUGAAGGGAGAGAUCACGUUAUAUUUCAGUUUGAUAUCACUGGAAACAAACAAUUCGGUUGCUUUAGCUACAAGACCAUCGGAAAACUAGGCUUAAGCAAUUUUAUAUCGAUUUGGAUACUGACGCUGAUCUUACAUAACCCACCAUGCGAAAGCGGUGAUUUUUUAAUCUGAACGAUAUUAUUUUCGUUCAUGAAUCAUGAACUGGCUCACAUACAUACAAAUGUACGUAUUUAAAAUGAGAACACCACAUCAAUAGUGUCGACACAUACACAACAUGCUUUAUGACUCAUUACAAAGAAAGUAAUGUUAGUGAAAUCAAGAAAUGAUUAUUAUGUUGUGAAAUGGUUAAUCCAUUAGGUGUGGUGAACAUGUAAUGGUGUGGUAGCAGAAGAAAAUGGCGAAAUGUUAGUCCAAAUAAUAAUUUAGAAAAAAAUCGAAGUUUUGAUAGAAAAAUUUGCGGGGGCGGUGGCACUUGUGAAGCUACAAAUAAAAAAAGAGCCAAAAGUAGCAGAAAAUUACAUAAUCGACGACGGAGUUGGAGCAUUUCAACUCGAUAAUAACUCCGGAGCGCACCGAUUUCUUUACUAACAAAUUACGGAACGUAAUAGGGACGAGCCCAUCAAUGUCAAGAAGUUUAAAAAAUAUGGUGCACGAGAGGAUUAUUUUGGAGUAAAAUUUAUUUGGAACUUCGGGGAAGAGUUCCCUUGGAAGUUUCAAGGAAUUUUAUAAUGUCCUGGAAAAAAUACUUAAAAAAACAUAAUAAUUGAUUAAUUAAUCCAUAUUACUUCAGCGGCGGUGAAAAUAAAAAUACCGAACGAGCAAACUGAAAAGGCCAUUCGCAAGGCUCUUCAUAAUAUUAAGAAUAGUGCCUUUCUGAAGAGCUCAAGAUCAAAUCAAACAAAUCCAAGGCUCUGAACACCGCAGAAAAGAAUUACAUUUUCUAUAAAUAAAGCAAAUUGACAAAAAUUACCAAAUUAAUGUUUUUCCAU